UACAGAGGUCUCAAGCGUUGUUCGGAUUCAUUGGGCGUAAAGGGUGCGUAGGCGGCGCGGUAAGUCGGGUGUGAAAUCUCGGAGCUUAACUCCGAAACUGCAUUCGAUACUGGCAUGCUUGAGGACUGGAGAGGAGGCUGGAAUUCAUGGUGUAGCAGUGAAAUGCGUAGAGAUCAUGAGGAAGACCAGUGGCGAAGGCGGGUCUCUGGACAGUUCCUGACACUGAGACACGAAGGCCAGGGGAGCAAACGGG
rnacentral:rRNA from 1 species